rnacentral:rRNA from 1 species
UACGUAGGGUGCGAGCGUUGCCCGGAUUUAUUGGGCGUAAAGGGCGCGUAGGCGGUCACGCACGUCCGUUGUGAAAUCGCUCGGCUCAACUGGGCGGGGUCGGCGGAUACGGCGUGGCUGGAGCAAGCUAGGGGGCAAUGGAAUUCCCGGUGUAGUGGUGAAAUGCGUAGAUAUCAAGUGGAACACCAGUGGCGAAGGCGAGUCCCUGGACAACUCCUGACACUGAGGCACGAAAGCUAGGGGAGCAAACAGG